UAGUCACUAUGAUAUUGGCUCGGCUCACUCAGAAGUCAAAUGUAACCUAAACCUUAUGUCUAAAGAUGUAAGAUUUAUGAUUAGUGAGUUUGAUUGAGCCGCACCAAUAUCUUAGUGUGCUUU
rnacentral:pre_miRNA from 1 species